AUUGAACGCUGGCGGCAGGCCUAACACAUGCAAGUCGGACGAGUGGCGGACGGGUGAGUAAUGUAUGGGAACGUGCCUGGUAGUGGGGGAUAACUACUGGAAAGGAUAGCUAAUACCGCAUACUAUCGGAUGGGCCCAGGUGGGAUUAGCUGGUAGGGGGGGUAACGGCUCACCUAGGCGACGAUCCGUAGCGGGUCUGAGAGGAUGACCAGCCACACUGGGACUGAGACACGGUCCAGACUCCUACGGGAGGCAGCAGUGGGGAAUAUUGCACAAUGGGCGCAAGCCUGAUCCAGCCAUGCCGCGUGUCUGAAGAAGGCCUUCGGGUUGUAAAGGACUUUUGUCAGGGAGGCGUUACCCGCAGAAUAAGCACCGGCUAACUCCGUGCCAGCAGCCGCGGUAAUUC
rnacentral:rRNA from 1 species